rnacentral:rRNA from 1 species
GUCGAGAAUCAUUCGCAAUGGGCGAAAGCCUGACGGUGCGACGCCGCGUGGAGGAUGAAGGCCCUAGGGUCGUAAACUCCUGUCAUCAGGGAGUAAAGACUCGUGUAGUCACUGACACGGGUCCUGAUAGUACCUGAAGAGGAAGGGACGGCAAACUUCGUGCCAGCAGCCGCGGUAAUACGAAGGUCCCAAGCGUUGUCCGGAUUUACUGGGCGUAAAGAGUCUGUAGGCGGCGGGGUAAGUCAGAUGUGAAAUCCCGGGGCUCAACCGCGAAACUGCAUCCGAUACUGCCUUGCUAGAGUAUUGGAGGGGAGUCGGGAAUUCUCGGUGUAGCAGUGAAAUGCGUAGAUAUCGAGAGGAACACUCGUGGCGAAGGCGAGCUACUGGACAACAUCUGACGCUGAGGCUCGAAGGCCAGGAGAGCAAAAGGGAUUAGAAACCCGUGUAGUCC